ACCAUUCGGAGCCUGAAUUUGUCA
rnacentral:siRNA from 1 species